rnacentral:tRNA from 1 species
GACUUGAUACUUUAAUUAUAAAAGAUUUGAUUUGCAUUCAAACAAUAAGUUUCAUUACUUUCAGGUCA